AUGUGCUGGAGCGCGGGCACAGAAUGGUGGCUUGCCGCGGCAAGCACCUUGCCGCGAUCGUUGUCUUGUCGCGUCCGGGAGCUUGUCGCUCACCGGGCCUUGCCGGGACGCGAGGCGCGCCGCGGCAAGUUCCUUGAGGCGCCUUGGUUGGCCUUCCCGGCAAGCUCCUCUUGCCGGGGUCUUGUCUCCUUGAACGCCUUGCCUUGGUUGGCCUUCCUGGCAAGCUCCUCUUGCCGGGGUCUUGUGGUGUCUUGGUUGGAUACUUUGUUCUUGAAUGGCUCCAAAGGAACCACGGAGGACCUUGGCGGUCACCCGGCAAGCCUUGCCGCGGGAUGCUGCGACUGCCCGUGCACAAGUUCGGAAUACUAG
rnacentral:rRNA from 1 species